CUGAAUUGGAAUUGGUGGUUCAGUUAAGGCAUCAUGGCGGACAAAAUAAGGUGCCAUAUGGAACAAACUGCUAAAAAACUGAAAUCGAAACCGCUUCAAACCAGAACCAGAAUCACAAUUGAAUCAGACUGAACUUGGCUCUGAACUAUGUUAAACUGAACCUGGCUGAACCGCCUAGGGCCAGUCUGAUUCCUAUUCAUUCUCUCUCUGCCCUAAACUGUUAGUUCUGGCUCGGAUCGAUGGCCUGGUCUAUCAUAAACUCCUUGCACUGGUUUUUUUUCUUUUCCCUUUUUUGGGAGGGAGGGGGUAGUGGUUACUUUAAGUGAUGAAAUUGUUGCAAUACUUGCUAUAAUAUUUUGGGCUUUUGGCAUGGAAAACCUGAUUUUCUUUGCCUACUGCUGGUUGAGGGGCCAUAGAUGGUGGUAGAUCUGGCAAUUGUCUGGUUAAG
rnacentral:misc_RNA from 1 species